UAAAAAGCGAUGAAAAGGGCAUUAGUAAUAUGACUCUCCCUGUUUUCCAGAGAGCUGAUGGUUGGUGAGAAUCAGCACAAAGAGCAUAUGAAUUACAUUCUUGGAGCUUUCUUUUUCGGAUUAUUUCGAAAAGACGGAGAACUUCCGUUAUCUUAAUGAAGAGGUAAGCAGCAAUGCUUGCAACUAGGGUGGUACCGCGAAUUUAUUCGUCCCUACU
rnacentral:ncRNA from 1 species